UACGUAGGGGGGCAAGCGUUGUCCGGAAUUAUUGGGCGUAAAGAGCGCGUAGGCGGUCCGGUAAGUCAGCUGUGAAAGUCAAGGGCUCAACCCUUGAAAGCCGGUUGAUACUGUCGGGCUAGAGUCCGGAAGAGGCGAGUGGAAUUCCCGGUGUAGCGGUGAAAUGCGCAGAUAUCGGGAGGAACACCAAUGGCGAAGGCAGCUCGCUGGGACGGUACUGACGCUGAGGCGCGAAAGCGUGGGGAGCAAACAGG
rnacentral:rRNA from 1 species